CUUCCAGUUUCUACUGUGGACUCAGAACCACGCAGACGUGAUAUUGGUGUGCAGACAGAUUUAACGGGGCACAACAUCCAAGCACUUAAGGCAGACAACAAGAGACUUACUUCUGAAUUGUGCACCUUAAAAAAGCAAAAAGAAUUGCUUGAAGUUACAGAAGAAUCUCUGCGUCAAGAUGACGCCAAAGUUGCCUUUUACUCGGGAAUGAUAAACUAUUCGGUCUUGCAUGCUAUAUUCAAACUGGUCGAGUCGGGUGUAAAACAUACACCGCAAAAUGGGUUGCCAAAGUUUCAAGAGUUCAUUAUUUUCUUAAUGAAACUUAAGUUCAACUUUCCGCACCAGGAUCUUGCCUACAGGUUUCACAUUUCAUGUGCUACCGUCAGCAGAAUUUUUGAGAAGUGGCUGGAUGCUGCCUUUUCAAGGCUGAGGUCACAAAUUGUGUGGCCGUCAUGAAAUGAUAUACAAAGGACAAUGCCACAAGCAUUUUUUGAAUCAUUUGGCUCAAAAGUGGCAGUCAUAAUUGACUGCUUUGAGAUCAGAAUUGAAAGACCAUCAUCCUUGCAGCCAAGAAGCGAGACAUGGUCAAACUAUAAGAACAGCAACACUGCCAAGUUUUUAAUUGGCAUCUGUCCACAAGGUGUAAUUACAUACAUUUCUGAAGGUUGGGGAGGCAGAGCUAGUGAUAGGCACAUAACCGAACAUUGUGGCAUUUUGGAAUAUUUGUCACAAGGGGAUGUUGUUUUAGCUGACAGAGGUUUUGACAUUGCAGACACUUUAGGGUUGUACUGUGCUAAACUCCAUAUCCCUGCUUUCACUAGAGGCCAGAAACAACUUACUGCGCUGGAUGUAGAAAACACAAGAAAACUGGCCAAUGUUCGCAUUCAUGUAGAACGGGUGAUAGGGCUUGUGCGGAACAAAUAUUUGAUAAUGAAAGCAGUCCAGCCAAUUCACUACGUGGCUAGCAAGGCAGGACACGCAUUUACACCACUUGAUAAGAUUGUAACAGUUUGCUGUGCCCUCAUCAACCUUUGUCCAUCGGUAGUUCCUGCAAAUCCAAAACUGCCCUCGUGAACAGCCUUGCGGACAUUCUUGCUGUUUACAAGUAUGGUUGUAUGGGCUUGGGCUAGUUGGUUACAUACAGCAAUGGGGGUCAUAGCACAAAGAAUGUGGUGCAUCGCCUUGCCAUAUCGUGUGGGAAGGUUUACAUUGGGCAGUCGGAGAGAUGCCUGAAUGAUAAGUUAAAAUAACAUAGCCAAAAAUUGAACCGAUGUAGGGAUGGUCAUGUGUCUGUGCAUUGCGGUGAUUGUGGGUGUAAACCCUUGUUUAAGAGUGCUCUGUUUUGUAUAGGAAUGUAGAUGAAGUUAUAUGAGAUGUGUUGAAGCUGCAUUGAUAGCGAGGGCCACUGAUACCUGCAUCAGUUCCCCUUCGGUUGCUCUGACGACAAGCAAAUUUGCGUUCCUGGAAGCGGCUGGUUUUCAUGUGUGGUGAUUGGGCCGUAUCGGUGUGCGGACCUACAAAUACAUGUUUUUCUGGGAAUAAAUACCCAGUUGAAAGUUAGCGCUCAUCCUUGUUGUCUCGCUCCCAUCCGUGUCUUCUGACCCCCAUUGCCAUUCUUUGCUGAUUGCGCAUUUUCAUUUGUGAUUUCACUGAGUGAUUGCUUCCAUUGUUCUCCCAUUGCAUUGUAAAUAAUUCCAUGUUGCACAGUAGACAGUUUGCAAAGUUUUACUCAAGGCAUUCUUUUACAAGUAUGAACUUUUCACAAGUGCUUUUACAUUCGCACAAGUAUUCACUCAAGCACUUGGUGUGUGCCUACACACAUGCAUCUUCAAACAAACAUGUGCUUGUAGAUAUGUGCUGAAUCUGAUCUGCAGUGUGUGGUCGCAACAUGUGCAUAUUCUCCCUGUAGUUUACUUGUGACACAGCUUCUCUUUUCAUAGUCCAUUUUCUGAUUCCUGUACGUUGACAAUAAAGUCUGCACUUUUGCUGCUUGCUUAUCAAUGAA
rnacentral:lncRNA from 1 species